CUAGACCUAAAUAAACAUAAUCAACGUUAUUCCAUUCUCCUCGUUUUCUAAGAUCAUUGUGAGAGGAAAAGGAUUAGCUUACCACCGAUUAUAGACACAUGAUCCUUGCCGCGCGACGAUCUAUCGAAACCGAUUUUUAUUUCUAAAAACAGAUGAUAUAUAUGUGAGUGCACUGCUAUUAUUUCUGCUACAAUUAUUUUAUUACUAUCGAAGUAUAAGAAUAUACGUGUACGAUAUAUGUAUUCUAUGUAUAUAUAUGUAGAUUCAAAGUGACGUGUAUAGGGUAAUUUAAGUAGAGAUGGACUAUCAUGAAAGACGAACUAUGUAUUUUCUAAACAAGCGUGUCGAAUACGUCGAUAUUGUUAUGCUAAUUGCAAUUGAAUGUAUCUGUGAAACGAAGAUUAGAAUUGCUUGGAAAAAUGCCGAAUCCAUUACGAUUGCUAAUACAGCAGCGAUUAUUUACAUUUCUUCAGUUUAUCGCGUUAUUCUAUUUCAUUUUAGUAAUAUCUCAUUAUUUAUUACUAGGUCAUAAGUUUAGUAGAUUAGUAUUUUCCAGUUCUUAAAAAAGGAGUAUAUUUGUACGUCCAUUCCUACACUCCGACAUCGAAGAAAACGAGUGUACACGUACAACGUUGAUCAAAAUUUCAUGUCGAUCGAUUACUAUUUUAAGAAGAUACACUAUUUUAAGAAAAUUUCGAUGCACUUGGAAAUGUCUAAGAAAGGGAGCGGCUUUGAGGAAGAAAAUGGCAGCGGAAAUGUGUAAGGGAGAAAGCGACUUUGAAGAAGAAAAUGACAGCGGAAAUGUUUGCGAAAGAAAAGAAACAUUUUCGAUCAAACCUUCGGUACGAGAAGUCAGAAAUGCCUCUGUUGAUUUCAUUACAAAUAUACGCUAUAUACCUUAUACAUUACAGACACACGUUAAAACUUGCAGUGCAAGUUUUUUUUCAGCAAAAUAAAAUUGAGAUCGUAAAUUGUGUACGUGAGUGUGAAAAAAAAACAUUAGGGAUCCUGAGAUAAUUAUAUUUAUGGUAAUUAUAUUUAGCAUUCUACUCUACUGAUAACGUAUUGCUUUUUCAAAUACUACAUUUGAAUCUAAAGAAACCACAGGCCGGUGUCCCAACUCACUGCAAUUUCACGUUCGAAAUGUUGUAGCGGCUUUUAGAAUGCAGAGAUUUAGAAGAUACUUGUAGAUUUAGAACGCGGAGAUUUGUAAUGGAAAUUUAAAGAGGCCUUUGGCGUUAACGAAAGAGGAAUGGACUACGAUCCCAGAUGCAUACAUAUAGUUCAUGGACUGAACCCAUUAAAUGGAACCACGCUAAACUCACAGAAAAAUCAGUUAUUUUUAGGCGACUUUUAUAAAUAAUGGUUAGCUUUUAAAGCACAUGCUAUGAAAAAGAACUGGAGCUGAGUUUAUAAAAGUUUUAUUAAAUCAACCAAUCUAAAUUUUACUUCCACUCCCUUGAAAAUAAUCCCUUCCUGCAACAAUAUAACGAUUGACUUUACCAUAGCCCCAAUGAUUUCUGAAAGCAAAAUUUAGAUUGGCUCACUUAAUCAAACUUUUAUGAACUCAGUCUGGAUUUUUCUUUUUUUACAACACCUCGUACAAUUCAAAUUGAUAACUUGAGAUACAGCUUCGUUGGUAUUUCAUUAUUUAAACAAUAGAAAAAUAUUUAUAAUACUAAUUAUUAGAUGGCUGGUCUCAGAACAAAAACUAAACGGGAAAAGGCACAUAAAAACAGUCGAUAUAAGAAUUAAUGAGCUAGAAAGUUAAGCCACUUCUACGUUCAGUCGCAACGGAAAAACUGACAAAGUGUCGCGUACAGGUGACAGUUCUUCCUUUUUAUCGCAUGAGUCUGUAAGAGAGAUGGAAGCGAACUCGUCUUCCGACGAGGAGUCGCAAGAUUUCAGCUCUGAAACGCUUGGUAAGGUGUAUAAGAAAAUCGAAAAUGAGAAAGAAAGGCGUAUGAACAUUGAUAUAGAGACAAUGACGAAAUACAAGAAACAUGUCAUUUCAUAUCUAGCAAAAUUAGCUUCCAUGUUACAGUUACGCUCUUCCUGCGACGCAAGUUAAACGAGCUUUUUCAACUCCGAAUCUAAGUGAACGUCUCGAGAGGAGACUUUAGAAGAAUGUUUGAGAUUAAUAUACUUGUAAUUUUUAUAAAUAAACUUAAAUGAAGAGAUUCUUUCGUUUAAUUAAUUGUAACACGCAAAGGCUAUUCCUCGCUACAGACUCAACGUAUCGAAAUUUAUUCCUGUUAAUUAUAUUUAUAUUGUAAAACAUACAUAUGUUAAAAUAAGUCUUCUAUUACAUACCUGAAGUUUAUCUUAAUGUACACGAAGCUUAUUUUAAUAUUUCUAAAUAAUCAUCUAUGUUGCAUAACCUUAACUUGCAAUAAAAAAGUUCAAAUGUUCUAACCCAUAGCAUUUUUAUA